AGCGAACGCUGGCGGCAGGCCUAACACAUGCAAGUCGAACGGAUCCUUCGGGAUUAGUGGCGGACGGGUGAGUAACACGUGGGAACGUGCCCUUUGGUUCGGAACAACUCAGGGAAACUUGAGCUAAUACCGGAUGUGCCCUUCGGGGGAAAGAUUUAUCGCCAUUGGAGCGGCCCGCGUCUGAUUAGCUAGUUGGUGAGGUAACGGCCCACCAAGGCGACGAUCAGUAGCUGGUCUGAGAGGAUGAUCAGCCACACUGGGACUGAGACACGGCCCAGACUCCUAUGGGAGGCAGCAGUGGGGAAUCUUGCGCAAUGGGCGAAAGCCUGACGCAGCCAUGCCGCGUGAAUGAUGAAGGUCUUAGGAUUGUAAAAUUCUUUCAGCGGGGACGAUAAUGACGGUACCCGCAGAAGAAGCUCCGGCUAACUUCGUG
rnacentral:rRNA from 1 species